UGGGGAUUUUUGCACAAUGGGGGAAACCCUGAUGCAGCGACGCCGCGUGAUUUAGAAGGCCUUCGGGUUGUAAAAAUCUUUUCUAUGGGAAGAAAAUGACAGUACCAUAGGAAUAAGGACCGGCUAAUUACGUGCCAGCAGCCGCGGUAAUACGUAAGGUCCGAGCGUUGUCCGGAAUCAUUGGGCGUAAAGGGUACGUAGGCGGGUAAGCAAGUUAGAAGUGAAAUCCUAUAGCUCAACUAUAGUAAGCUUUUAAAACUGCUCAUCUUGAGGUAUGGAAGGGAAAGUGGAAUUCCUAGUGUAGCGGUGAAAUGCGCAGAUAUUAGGAGGAAUACCGGUGGCGAAGGCGACUUUCUGGCCAUAACCUGACGCUGAGGUACGAAAGCGUGGGUAGCAAACAGG
rnacentral:rRNA from 1 species